rnacentral:tRNA from 1 species
GCUCGAUUAGCUCAGUUGGUAGAGCAGCGGACUCUUAAUCCGUGGGCCCAGGGUUCGAGUCCCUGAUCGAGCA